rnacentral:rRNA from 1 species
AUUGAACGCUGGCGGAAUGCUUUACACAUGCAAGUCGAACGGCAGCACGGGGCAACCUGGUGGCGAGUGGCGAACGGGUGAGUAAUACAUCGGAACGUGCCCAAUCGUGGGGGAUAACGUAGCGAAAGUUACGCUAAUACCGCAUACGAUCUACGGAUGAAAGCGGGGGAUCGCAAGACCUCGCGCGAGUGGAGCGGCCGAUGUCAGAUUAGGUAGUUGGUGGGGUAAAGGCUCACCAAGCCAACGAUCUGUAGCUGGUCUGAGAGGACGACCAGCCACACUGGAACUGAGACACGGUCCAGACUCCUACGGGAGGCAGCAGUGGGGAAUUUUGGACAAUGGGCGCAAGCCUGAUCCAGCCAUUCCGCGUGCAGGAUGAAGGCCUUCGGGUUGUAAACUGCUUUUGUUACGGACGAAACGGCGAGCUCUAAUACAGUUUGCUAAUGACGGUACCGUAAGAAUAAGCAACCGGCUAACUACGUGCCAGCAGCCGCGUAAGG